UUCUCAUUGAGCUGGUAAGGUAGUUCAGCAUCUGUUUAAUAAACUUCCUGUUCGCUCACUUCUCUAGAAGCGUUUCCCCGUUCAAAGCCUCAGUGGCUCAUCGCCUUGGUGAUAAGCUUCGAGUCCCUGUACAGUUGUGUGUGGUCCUCUGACACUCCCCCAACCCCUCACAAGAUCACACAAUGUACUGCUUCAAGAUGGCUUCAAAAUGACAAUCCUUUAAGAACAAAAUGCUAAGGACUUAACUGAAUUAAAAAACACACAUUUAUUUGACUCCUUUAGGGCUCUCAAACGGUAUCCUUGGGUGAUGCAAUUCAUAUUACCUGCACAGAGGAAAGUAAGAACGCAACAAGGUGAAUUUCAAAGCUCCAUAUCUCAGCAACCUGUCCUUGAGGGAAGUAGAGCUUGUAUGGGCUCAGUUAUGUUAUGAUACUUUGAUCAGUUUU